AUUGAACGCUGGCGGCAUGCCUUACACAUGCAAGUCGAACGGCAGCACGGGAGCAAUCCUGGUGGCGAGUGGCGAACGGGUGAGUAAUAUAUCGGAACGUGCCCAGUCGUGGGGGAUAACGCAGCGAAAGCUGUGCUAAUACCGCAUACGAUCUAUGGAGGAAAGCGGGGGAUCGCAAGACCUCGCGCGAUUGGAGCGGCCGAUAUCAGAUUAGCUAGUUGGUGAGGUAAAGGAUCACCAAGGCGACGAUCUGUAGCUGGUCUGAGAGGACGACCAGCCACACUGGAACUGAGACGCGGUCCAGACUCCUACGGGAGGCAGCAGUGGGGAAUUUUGGACAAUGGGCGAAAGCCUGAUCCAGCAAUGCCGCGUGCAGGAUGAAGGCCUUCGGGUUGUAAACUGCUUUUGUACGGAACGAAACGGUGAGCUCUAAUACAGUUUGCUAAUGACGGUACCGUAAGAAUAAGCACCGGCUAACUACGUGCCAGCAGCCGCGGUAA
rnacentral:rRNA from 1 species